rnacentral:rRNA from 1 species
AUUGAACGCUGGCGGCAGGCCUAACACAUGCAAGUCGAGCGGAGCGGCGGACGGGUGAGUAAUGCCUAGGAAUCUGCCUGUUCGUGGUGGAUAACGUCCGGUAACGGGCGCUAAUACCGCAUACUAUCAGAUUAGCCUAGGUCGGAUUAGCUAGUUGGUGGGGUAAAGGCCUACCAAGGCCACGAUCCCGAACUGGACUGAGAGGAUGAUCAGUCACACUGGAACUGAGACACGGUCCAGACUCCUACGGGAGGCAGCAGUGGGGAAUAUUGGACAAUGGGGGAAAGCCUGAUCCAGCCAUGCCGCGUGUGUGAAGAAGGUCUUCGGGUUGUAAAGCACUUUAAGUUGGGAGGCGGUACCAGCAGAAUAAGCACCGGCUAACUUCGUGCCAGCAGCCGCGGUAAUUC